CUCAAAAUUAUUAACUGAAGAUGAAUAUAUAUAUUCAUGAUAUCCUAUUGAUAUAUGUUAUAAUAAACGCAAUAUCAUGCUACUGCCUGUUUUCUCUUAUUGAUCUCCAUCAUUUACCAUACAUAUAUAUCCUAUUAUAAAGUGCAUAUACUUAAUUUACAUAUAUAAAAACCCACUUCUGUAUAUGUAACAGAAUCUUACUUUUAACUGAACAAUUCUAUCUUAAUUCAUUUCCAAAUCAUAUGCAGUUCUGUUAUAUAUGGCCUCAAGUAUUAGAUAUAUAAUAGGACAUGUCUAUUAUCUAUUAGUAUUCUCCUCUCGAGUGAGAGUCCUUUCCCCUGAACGAGGGUUGCUUGUGCGCCAAUCACCGCCUCUGCUCCUGAUUGCUUUUGUCUAGCUCCGUCGUUCCCUCCUCGCAGAUCUUGCUUCUCACCACUUCUUAUCUCUCUUUUCUUUAAUUCCUUGUUUACCUUUUUUUCGAUUUUCUGACUUUGAUUUGCUUCAUUGUGGUGUAUCCCCGACGUCUUCUACUGCGGCUUCUGACUUGGAUCAUCAUUGCUUAUCUCCGACUUCUCUGAAUCUUGUUCCAAUCCAUGGAUUCCGGGUUCAAUCAAUUGCAAACAACCCUAUCACUGGCAGAGGCCGAGGAAAAUGGAGUGAUGAUUUCUUCCAAUCUCUGGUAUUCUGAUUCUGAAGCAUAUGAAUUAUAUUUGGUGGGGCGUCUUUUGUCUCAAUAACUCUUUCAUGCCGAUGCUCUCAAAUCCACAUUGAUAUUAAGUGGCAUAGAUUUCAAAUUACUGGAUGGAAAUUGAUUUUUGCUGAAGCUUAAUCAUAUAGAUCGUAACCGAGUCCAAGAAAGUUGCCCUUGGUCAUUUGAAAAGAAUUUGCUGGUUCUCAGUUCUAUUGGCAUGAACGAAAAUUCGAGUGAUGUGAACCUUGAUUUGCAGAUUUUCACAUACGUGUUCGUGGAUUGCCACUUAGCAAGAUGUCGAAAGAAAUGGUCAGUUUUAUUGAAAAUCACAUUGGUCGAGUUAUAGAUGUUGACAUGGAUGAUACUGGGCAGGUAUGGGGUUCUUCAUGCGGUUACGACUUCUAUUGACGUCACCAAACCCCUCAAGCAUGUUCUGAAAUUGCAUGCAACCCUGGGAGAUGAACAAUUACUAUCUUUUGCAUACGAAAAAUCUACGAACGUCUUCACAGGGCUUGUGCGGACCCAAUGUGGAGGAGCAAGUUUCCAAAUACAAUUGUUUGCCACCUCAGGGUAACCUCUUCAAACCAUUCAACAAUUUUGAUAGAAAUUGAGGCCUCUCAAGCGUAAGCAUAAACCAUUUCGAGCGAUCUGGGCCUUGUCUGUCGAUUGCGAACAGGUUGUGAAAGAAGGUUGGAACUCGUAGGAUAACAGUUCACAACACCCUUUAUUAGCCAAGCAACGCGGGUAUGCAGCAAGAUUACUAGCAUGGAAUCGGCAACAGGGUUCCCGCCCACUCUGUAAGUAGAUUCAAACUCUUGAAGAGAACUAACUCGAAUCUGAUGUAGAACUAUCACCACUGAAAGCAAGCAGAUGGAGAGUCGAAUUCAAAAGGAUAUGGAACAGUUAUUAGCACAAGAAAAGGUGUUUUGGAAACAGAGAGCUAAAAUCCAUUGGCUUUGGGAGGGUGACCAAAAUACCUCGUUCUUUCACAAUCAAGGCAGUGCCCGUAGAAAGACGAACGCUAUAAACCGGAUUAAAAAUGCGGAGGGUCAACGGUUGGAAACAAAUGAGGACAUCCAAAAUCACAUAGAGGCUUAUUUUGGGAAUAUCUUUCGAACUCGAAAUUCUUCGGAGGAAGAACUGGAAAAGGGGGACAGAGGAGAGUACGACGAGGAUCUCUAACAGCAUGCUGCAGGAGAUUAUGCGACCGUACACUGAAGAUGAAGUAUCCCAGGCGUUAUCCCACAUGGCCCCUUUGAAAUCCCCGAGACUGGAAUGUUUCCGCCUUCACUUUUUCAAAAGUAUUGGCAUGUUGUUCGUAAGGAUGUUAUCUCUAGUACUCUCAUGCUUCUCAAUGAUAUGAUCUUACCCUCUGAGCUUAACCAUACACACAUAGUUUUGAUUUCGAAAUGCAAGAAACUGGAAACCCUCACCCAAUUCCGCUCCAUCAAUCUCUGCAACGUUGCAUAUAAGAUAGCCUCCAAAACCAUAGCAAAUAGAUUGAAAUCGAUUCUGGAUGCUAUUAUUUUCCCAAGUCAACCUGCCUCUGUACUUGGUAGACUUUUAACUGAUAAUGUUCUGCUCGCUUUUAAAGUAAAUCACUACCUAAACACCAAAAGACGGGCCAAAAAAAGGCAUAUAUCACUAAAAUUGGACAUUAGUAAGGCUUACCACAAGGUUGAGUCAUAAUUUCUUGAGAAAGUCUUGUUUAGGUUAGGAUUACCACCCCCCCCCCCCAACCCAAAUUUGUAGAGUUGGUCAUGUUGUGCGUUUCUUUAGUAUCUUAUUCUUUUAUCUUAUGUGGCUCUCAAUUUGGUUUUGUUACCCACCGAAGAGAGCUCCUACAAGGAACUCCAUUUCCCUGUACUUAUUUUUACUUUGCACAGAGGCUUUUAGUUUGUUGUAGAAAGAAGGACGAAAUGGCAGAUUACAGAGUGUAGCGGUAUGUUGGCAAGCCCCCUGUGUUUCCCAUCUCCUAUUUUUCGACGAUACCUUGAUCUUUUGCCAAGCCACUGUUGAGGCUGCUACUUGCAUUUUAGACUUUUGGAAGGACUGCAGGUCAGGAAAUUAACUUUGCUAAAUCCUCGGUAGUGUUCAACAGAAAUACAGCAACUUCCAUCAAAGACGAAAUUCAAGGACGAAGCGGACGUUAUCCUGACAAUCCCGCUUAGCUCUAAUGGAGGAGAGGACUUGUUUAUUUGGCAUCACACAGCCAAUGGUGAGUUCUCUGUUGGUAGCGCUUAUCAUGUGGCUGUAUCUCUUUCCUCUCAAUCACAACCUUCUACCUCAACAUCAUGUUCCCCUAUUUGGAAGACGAACAUCCCGAGAAAGAUUAGGUUUUCACAUGGAAAUUAGCUCAUAAUGCCUUUCCAACAGGGGUAAAUAAAGAAAAAAUUGAUUGAUGAGCUGCUGGUGUGUCCUCUUUGCCAAUCCAAGGGAUAGGACAACAUGCAUGUCUUUCUUGGCUACCCUUUUGCCCGCCAAGUUUGGUGUUUAUCUCAUCUUCGCUGGGCCAUUGUGUCUGCUUUCUCUUCUGAUUCGUGCGACUGGAUUGAACAUAUGACCACAGAAUUCACCUCAGACCUUCAUCACUAUCUAUUGGGCUCUUUGGAGGAACAGAAUAUCAGACACUCAUGCAACGAAUCACACUCCCUCCAGGUGAGCUACUGAACUUGGACCUCAACUAUCUCCUCUCCUUUUUUUUUCUUUAGGGCGGGGUAAAAGUGUAAUUUCACACCUCAUUUUUUUUUUUUUAAAAAAAAUGAAAAGUUUCAUACGAGGAGGACAAAGUAGAAAAGGCCUCAUACAUUGAGGGUGUAUCUUAUUAACCCUAUAUAAUAAAGAAAUGAAAAUAGCAAGUAGCAUCAACUGUCUAACUGGCAGUGGCAGACUACUAAUAUAUGUACUUGUACACAAAUGUAUAUAUGUAUUUUUUUAUUAUUAUAAUGA